UGUUCAACAUGCUAUGGACAAGGGAAUUGAUCCUCUCCUUGAGUCUGCCAUUCUAAUCUCAAAGAAGAGAAGAACAACCCUUCCUAGGUGAAAGCUGGUACUCCUUUCUCCUCACUUCUGUAAUCUCCCAUCAUCACCGAGGUCCCAUUUUAUUCCUAUUGUUUUUGCACCUCUUCAACCUUUCACUAUUACCCUUAUUCUCU
rnacentral:lncRNA from 1 species